rfam:Triticum urartu cultivar G1812 contig9779, whole genome shotgun sequence.
AAAGUUAAAGAAUAGGAUAUCGUCUCCCAUAUCCUUGCCGAGCUCGAUGAAGAGUUUAACCCGGUCGUCUCCGCCAUGUGCUUUCGGGUGGAGCCCGUCACUAUCCCGGAGUUGUACUCUCAGCUCCUCAGCUUUGAGA